GACGAACGCUGGCGGCGUGCUUAACACAUGCAAGUCGAACGGGAUUACGAAGCAAAAGCCCCGGGCUAAGGUUACUAAUGGGGGGGGCGGACGGGUGGAGUACCCCUUUGCAAACUGGCCAUCACCAGUGGAUUAGCCCGGGAAAUCGGGAUUAAUUCCUCCUUAAAUUGGUGGAAAACAUGUUUUUACCGGUCAAGGUUUAUCGGGCAUGGAAUGGGCUGGGUUUGAUUAGCUUGUUGGUGAGAUAACAGCCCACCAAGGCGACGAUCAGUAGCCGGUCUGAGAGGAUGAACGGCCACAUUGGAACUGAGACACGGUCCAAACUCCUACGGGAGGCAGCAGUGGGGAAUAUUGCACAAUGGGGGAAACCCUGAUGCAGCGACGCCGCGUGAACGAAGAAGGUAUUCGUAUCGUAAAGUUCUGUCCUAUGGGAAGAUAAUGACAGUACCAUAGAAGAAAGCUCCGGCUAAAUACGUG
rnacentral:rRNA from 1 species